ACGCGACCCCAGGUCAGGCGGGGCUACCCGCUGAGUUUAAGCAUA
rnacentral:rRNA from 2 species